UCUGCCUACCAAGGUUUAGUCACUUGUGAAGAUAUCACCUAUCUUUACUAGAAUUUGAGCUCUAAUCUCUCAUAAUUUCACCCACUUAAUUUAUUGUAACACCAUACCCUUCAUUUUGGUAGCAAUGUAUUUGAGUGGCCGUUAAUGGCUAUGGCUCUGAUGUAUUUGUUUUUUCUUUCUAUCUGAUGUAUUAGGUACGGUCAAUCACAAGUUUGUGAAAGUGGUUUGGAUGGAAAAGGAGGUUCUAGAUGGAGUUGGUUCUAGUGCUAUUGCUAGCAAACCAAAGCUGACAACUAAUGAUGCAUUGUCUUAUUUGAGGAAGUUAAGAGCAUGUUUGCUGACCAAAAGGAGAAAUAUGACAUGUUCCUUAUGCUCUGUUGGACUUUAAGAGACAAAGAAUUGAUACUGUUCCUAGUUUGAUCCACGAACUCAAUCCUUUCUUGCCCAUUGAAUGUGAAAUAAUCCUCAAUGAUGAAGAUAAGGCUCCUCCAAAGAAAACAAUUUACGUUGAACAAGCAAGCAAUUUAGUGAACAAUAUAAAGGAACGUUCAAGAAAAGAGCAUGAGUACAAAUCCUUCCCAAAUAUUAAUGUUGUAAAGUCAGUUGAUACAUCUGCUAGGAUGGAUGCUAAGGAGGAGGUGAAGAGUGAUUUACACAUUGGCAAGCUGAGACGAGGUACUAGAAGGGUAGUUCCACCUAAAAGGAUGGACAAUUACUUUUGGAAAGGAGGAAAACCACGUGAGCAAGGCCAAAGUUAGUUAUGGAAUUUGUAUAGAAGUGUGAGAACAUCAUAAGAAGGGAUAAGGAAGUUUUUUCAUAUUGGGAAUAUUCUCAGCUCUUUCUUCGGUCUUGCCAACCACUUUGAGAAUUGUAGUUUCUGAUUUCAAAUGUAUUUCAUUGUUCCCUGCAAUUUUCCGUGUUGUGUCCUAUUAUAUGUUAAUCGUAUUCAGUAAAACAUCAUAAUAUAUAUCAAUGUUUGUAUUUUGAGAUUGUGAGUUGUUACAAUCAGCAUGAGUGGGAAAAGAGCACAAGGAUGUCAAAGAGGUGUACGAUGGGGCGAUAGCCUUGCUCUCUGGCCACAACAGUUUCGAAUUCUUCAACCUUCAAUCGACGUGACAGCUUUGCUUUCCGGCCACAACAGCUUCAAAUUCUUCAUGGUUCCUUUUUUCUUUCACAGGUAAAAAAUUAUGGCCUUUUUAGUUUUGAAGAAAGUGAGGAACCUGAGCCAACUUCUCUUACAGUAUUGGUUAAUAAUUUCAAUAUUUAUUGCUUUAAUUUGAAAUACAGUCUGAAUAAAAUCUAAUUUCUG